AUUAUUUUUCUCACGCUAACGCAAGAGCCUUCCUUGGCCGCUUCAUGCCACCUGGCACGGUCACCUCGUCCGGCCACGGGUGGUCUUGCGGGGGCCGCAAGAAGCCCUAGGCUGCUUCCUAUUGUCUUCUGCAUCCUUACCGUUAAUGUUUAUCCAUAUGCCGCGAGAACUGGGGUAAACAGAGGAGAAGACGAAGAGGAAAGCAAUGAGGUUGGCGUGGGCGUGGGUGUGCGGCGCGGAGGAGAAGCCGACGGGGACGCAGAGGGCGGCGCCAGGUCGAUGCCCGUGCUGCGGCGGCGCGGUGGUGGCGACGGAGGUGGAGAAGGCAGUGCGGCUCUGCUUCCUGCCGCUGCGCCGCCACAGCACCACCAAGUUCUCCUGCUCCCGAUGCGACCGCCGCCUCGUCUCCCUGUACCACUAGUUCCGAUCCCUCCGCAUCUUCCGGUCUUAAAUUUUGCCUCCCCCUCCUGAUCACUCUGUUCAGUCCGACUGCUGCUUCGACAUUCAUAGAACUUCUUUAAGGUGUAUAAAUUUUGCCAAAUAUAGUGUGGAUUUGUUCUUGCUAAUCUAGCAACUUGAGAUUCUCGCUUCAAA